rnacentral:rRNA from 1 species
UCUGGCGACUAUGGCGGUGGGGAAACACCUCUUCCCAUUCCGAACAGAGCAGUUAAGCCCACCAGCGCCGAUGGUACUGCCCUGGAAACGGGGUGGAAGAGUAGGUCGUCGCCAGGG